GGCUGUGUGUCUAAAUGAAGAUCCAGGAUUACAUUUUAAUAGGGGGAAGACAUAUACAGGCUUUGGAAGAUAAGUAUACUAUGUGAAAUCUUCUGGGAGAAUGGAAAUGUAAAUAUAGCAGAGAAGUGUUGUGGAAAUUCUGACCAGCAGAGGGCUCCUUUUAAUAUUAAUAGUUAUUAAUUUAAAGGCCUGAAGUUAUGAGGGACUAAAGUGAGGAUCAGAACCCAGAACCUAUGGUGUAUAGAGGUCUUCCUUCAAAGAAACACUGGCCUUCAUUUGAGGAACACAGCCAGGCUGAGGGGACCCCACAGGGGUUAAGUAAAAGAUAUCAUAUGGAUUGACUAACACUGAAGAGUCAAGAAUUUUUAAGGAAGCUUCUGCAGCUUUUGGAGUGUGAAUGUAACAGGUUGGGCUCCUCCUCGAGCAAACCCUGACAGUGUGCCUCUAGCUCUCCACCUGGAACUUCCCUGUUGCCACUGAGAAAUCUACCUAGCCUAAGGCUGCAAAGAUAUUCUCCUAUGGUUACGUCCAGAAGUUUUACAGUUUUAUGUCCAUGUGUAUGAUCAAUUUCAAGUUAUUUUUUUACAGUGCAAGGCACGUGGGGAGUUUGUAUCUCCCCAUACCUGAAUUUUUAACUGAACAUAUGGGUUGCUCUAGCUGAAGAAAUGUGUGUAGAACAUGAUGUGUCAUUUCCAGGCUCAAUCACCAUCCUCUCUCUGUCCCUGUGCCAUUGCCUCAGUCCCAGAAUGAGGAGAGUCUCUAGCUCUCUCAUGUAGCAGUAGCAAGAAAUAUAUCUUGAUGAUAUAAGUUACUAAUAAUCUUUUAAUGGCAAAAUAAUCUAUAUAAUAUCAUCUAUCUUGAUUACUACAGAAAUGUAUACCUAGAAAUGUGGUACUUCCAUUAAAAAAACCUUAAAAUAAAGACUGGGAAGUGGGUGGUGAGGAAACUAUUAUCAGAGAUUACAAGAAUGGUGAUCUAUGUGAUGCAACAUGUAAUCAUUUGAUAAAAUUGUUGACAGAGAUAAUCUGGAAGCCAAAUUACAUACCUUGUGAAUUUGUAAAUCAAGAAAUAAAGAUUGCAAAA
rnacentral:lncRNA from 1 species